rnacentral:rRNA from 1 species
UGAGAGUAGGCAAAUCCGCUCUCAUAAUGCUGAGGCGUGAUGGGGAAGGUUCUACGGAACCGAAGUACAUGAUUCCACGCUGCCAAGAAAAGCGUCUAGAGAGAGAAGUAGUGCCCGUACCGCAAACCGACACAGGUAGGUGAGGAGAGAAUCCUAAGGCCGGCGGAAGAAUUACAGUUAAGGAACUCGGCAAAUUGACCCCGUAAGUUCGCGAGAAGGGGUGCCUACGAGAGUAGGCCGCAGAGAAUAGGCCCAAGCAACUGUUUAGCAAAAACACAGGUCUCUGCUAAAGCGUAAGCUGAUGUAUAGGGGCUGACGCCUGCCCGGUGCUGGAAGGUUAAGGGGAACACUUAGCGCAAGCGAAGGUGUGAACUUAAGCCCCAGUAAACGGCGGCCGUAACUAUAACGGUCCUAAGGUAGCGAAAUUCCUUGUCAGGUAAGUUCUGACCCGCACGAAUGGCGUAAUGACUUGGGCACUGUCUCAACUGUAAAUCCGGCGAAGUUGUAGUGCGAGUGAAGAUGCUCGCUACCCGCGAUUGGACGGAAAGACCCCGUAGAGCUUUACUGUAGCUUAGCAUUGAGUUUUGGUAUUGUCUGUACAGGAUAGGUGGGAGACUAGGAAACCAGGGCGUCAGCCUUGGUGGAGUCAACCUUGGGAUACCACCCUGACAGUACUGAAAUUCUAACUGGCGGCCAUGAAUCUGGUCACAGGACAUUGUUAGGUGGGCAGUUUGACUGGGGCGGUCGCCUCCUAAAAAGUAACGGAGGCGCCCAAAGGUUCCCUCAGAACGGUCGGAAAUCGUUCGAAGAGUGCAAAGGCAGAAGGGAGCCUGACUGCGACACCCACAAGUGGAGCAGGGACGAAAGUCGGGCUUAGUGAUCCGGUGGUACCUCGUGGGAGGGCCAUCGCUCAACGGAUAAAAGCUACCUCGGGGAUAACAGGCUGAUCUCCCCCAAGAGUCCACAUCGACGGGGAGGUUUGGCACCUCGAUGUCGGCUCGUCGCAUCCUGGGGCUGAAGUAGGUCCCAAGGGUUGGGCUGUUCGCCCAUUAAAGCGGCACGCGAGCUGGGUUCAGAACGUCGUGAGACAGUUCGGUCCCUAUCCGUCGCGGGCGUAGGAAAUUUGAGAGGAGCUGUCCUUAGUACGAGAGGACCGGGAUGGACUGACCUCUGGUGUACCAGUUGUUCCGCCAGGAGCACAGCUGGGUAGCUAAGUCGGGAAUGGAUAAACGCUGAAAGCAUCUAAGCGUGAAGCCAACCUCAAGAUGAGAUUUCCCAUAGCGUAAGCUAGUAAGAUCCCUUGAAGAACACAAGGUUGAUAGGUCGGGGGUGUAAGCAUGGUAACAUGUUCAGCUGACCGAUACUAAUAGAUC